UUUCACUGUUUUCUUUUCAUGGCAGCAGCCAAUCUCCAAAUACCAAAUUCUGUUCUUGUUAUCUAUUGCUCCAUAACAACUCACUGCAAAACAGUGGCUAAAACAAGAAUCAUUCUCUAACAUCUUGAGGUUUAUCUGGGUCAGAAAUUUGAGAAAGGGUUGGCCGGGCAGUUCCGGUUUCAUAUCUCCUGGGUGAAAGCAGUCAGAUGAUGGCUGGAGCUGAAACAGCAAGAGCAUGGAACAUCUGGGGACCGUCCGGACAGUUGAUCAAGGAGAUUCUGAGGCUGCCAACUUCAUCUGUAUUCAGAAGUAUGAAGUGCCCAUGGCUUCUAGGAUUCUGAGGUUACUACAGAAUGUUAAGGAGUGGGUUCUGUGAACAGAUGUACAUAGGUUUACAAACUUGGAUGUGUUUGUCAUGAAGCCACAAGAUCACAGCAUGGAAGUGCCACGCGAAUACAAUCCUGUGAGUGUGCAUCAGGAUUUCACUCUCAGAACACCUGCUUCUAGGAAAUAUAUACAACAGCCAAACUGACCUGUAGCCAAGCAGCGAACAUACAAUUCUUUUGCUGACAGAGAAUCUAUUUCUCAGA